rnacentral:tRNA from 1 species
GGAGCUAUGGUGAAGAGGUUAUCACAGCGCUCUGUGGCAGCGCGGUCGAGGGUUCGAGUCCCUCUAGCUCCC